CAUCAUCUCCUUGAAUCAUACAAUUAGGUAAUGGGAGAGGGAGGGAAGCCUGAUAGGGACUAUCUGCCCCUCUGUAGGGGACAGGUCAUUUGAGUUCCCACUGUGUCGCCUUCCUCUGGCCCUUAUCGCUAAGGACAUAAAUGUGCUUAAGAGCAUGUCCCUUCUUCCUCACAAGUUUUUUUUUUUUAAACCUUACAGCUGCUCUGAAGCCCAGAAAAUCUCAUGGAAACCUCCAGGAACUGCUGUGCAGUUUUACUCCAACCUACACAAUGCUGAAGUGAGACAAAGGGAUAUGUUAAGAUUAAGCAACUGUAGUUUGAGUGUUCACCAUGUAAUAUGUGCUUGGGUGUACUUCAGUCACAAGCUCAAAGUAGCUAUGGGACUUGUCACCUUAAUCUGAUCAGACAAUGUUGUGUGGGUAGGCCUGGAUUGGAGAUGGCUUCCCUCCUCAUACUCCUGUUCUCUCUCACAGACCUCUUCUUGGGUGAAUCUGAUAUUGUGGUGUCUGGCCUUGAUGCUCCAGGUCAUGCAGUGCAAGUUUCAAGCGACACCAUACCAGCCCCAGGAGAGGGGUGACCCAGAGUGGAGCUCUGAGACUGAUGCUCUUGUUGGGCACCGCCAGUCUCACUCCUGAAGAAUAUCGAGUGCUUUCUGCAACCAGAACCUCCAAGCCCAAUUGCUUUUAAUCUUCUUGUCUCUGUACAGCCCUGUUUAUAUUGGAAACCUCAGUUUUCCCUCCAGGAGGGAAACAUUCGAAUAGGCCACUUCUGCUUUUUCUCCUUAACUUUUUUGUACCAAAAUAAUAUAUUACUUUUCUUCA
rnacentral:lncRNA from 1 species